AGCAGUAGCCGCGGUAAUACGAAGGGGGCUAGCGUUGCUCGGAAUUACUGGGCGUAAAGGGCGCGUAGGCGGAUGUUUAAGUCAGAGGUGAAAGCCCAGGGCUCAACCUUAGAACUGCCUUUGAUACUGGACAUCUUGAGUAUGGGAGAGGUGAGUGGAACUCCGAGUGUAGAGGUGAAAUUCGUAGAUAUUCGGAAGAACACCAGUGGCGAAGGCGACUCACUGGCCCAUUACUGACGCUGAGGCGCGAAAGCGUGGGGAGCAAACAGGAUUAGAUACCCCUGUAGUCCCUGUCUCUUAUAC
rnacentral:rRNA from 1 species